CCUACGGGGCGCAGCAGUGGGGAAUAUUAGACAAUGGGCGAAAGCCUGAUCCAGCCAUGCCGCGUGUGUGAAGAAGGCCUUCGGGUUGUAAAGCACUUUCAGUGGGGAAGAAAGCCUUGGGGCUAAUACCCUCGAGGAAGGACAUCACCCACAGAAGAAGCACCGGCUAACUCCGUGCCAGCAGCCGCGGUAAUACGGAGGGUGCGAGCGUUAAUCGGAAUUACUGGGCGUAAAGCGCGCGUAGGCGGUCUGAUAAGCCGGUUGUGAAAGCCCCGGGCUCAACCUGGGAACGGCAUCCGGAACUGUCAGGCUAGAGUGCAGGAGAGGAAGGUAGAAUUCCCGGUGUAGCGGUGAAAUGCGUAGAGAUCGGGAGGAAUACCAGUGGCGAAGGCGGCCUUCUGGACUGACACUGACGCUGAGGUGCGAAAGCGUGGGUAGCAAACAGGAUUAGAUACCCUGGUAGUC
rnacentral:rRNA from 1 species